GGUUGUUCAUAUUGAAAUAACAAAAGGUGAUGAAGAAAAUUAGGGUUUUACAAAUCAAUGCGACUGGGAAUAGGAAAAAUGUACAUCAGUUACUCUUCUGUUAGGAUUGAGUAUAAAACCCUAGAUUUGUCACCUACAAGGUUAAGAUGGUGCUGUAGGACUAGAUGGAUUCAAUGAUAUUUUUUUAAUCAUACAUGUUGGUGGAUUAUCAAGCACGAUCCUAUUAAUUUUGUGCAAUACUUCUUCAAAGGAGGUAGUAAUGAUGGAAGCUUCGACAUCAAGGGUGUUGUCAAAAGAUAGAUGCGAGAGACUGCAAAAAUCAUUUCUAAGGAGGUAGUUUACUAAGAGGUUUGUUUCCGAUUCAUGAAUAGGACUAUGCAUUAUUUACCAAAGUGAGUGAGAGGCUUCUACCUAGUUGUCGUCCCAAAGGUGAAUUUCGCUACCAUCAACAAUAUUCCCAAAGAUACCUUUUUGGUACACAUCUUCUUUCAAACCGAAGAAGGUUAGUGCAUCAAAAUCCCUAGAACUACUACAGAUGGACCUAUGUGGACCCAUGAGGGUUCUCGUCAAAGGACAUAAGUGGUAUGUUUUCAUUAGUGCUAAUGAUUACACCAAAUAAUUCAGUUGGACCAUAUUUUUCAGUUCAAAAGAGGAGAAUUCUGAAAUUUUUACUUAUCUUUGUGAAACUAGACCAAAAAAAGUCUAAAGUUAUAAGUAUUUGAUUUGACCAUGACACAAAAUUUAAAAAAUAUUAAAAUUUUAAAAUAUUGUGCAUAACAUGAAAUAUAUCACAGUUUCUUCGCUCCUAGAACUCCUCAACAAAACAGAGUUGUAAAAGAAAAAAAUAGAUGCUCAACCUUGUUCUGAACUAAGAGAAGAUAAAUUGGUUAAAACUUUGUGCUUUUAAAGUAUU